rnacentral:tRNA from 1 species
UCCGGAUUAGCUCAGUGGUAGAGCAGCGGACUGUUAAUCCGUUUGUCGUAGGUUCGAACCCUACAUCCGGAG